AGCAGUGCGAUAGCAUCCGGGGGCUCGCCGAUACGAGGAAAGCCGGUGCAAUUCCGGUGCGGUCGCGCCACUGUGACAGUCAGACCCUCCGGGCGGGCGGCCGUAUC
rnacentral:ncRNA from 2 species